GAUGAACGCUGGCGGCGUGCCUAAUACAUGCAAGUCGAGCGAACAGACGAGGAGCUUGCUCCUCUGACGUUAGCGGCGGACGGGUGAGUAACACGUGGAUAACCUACCUAUAAGACUGGGAUAACUUCGGGAAACCGGAGCUAAUACCGGAUAAUAUAUUGAACCGCAUGGUUCAAUAGUGAAAGACGGUUUUGCUGUCACUUAUAGAUGGAUCCGCGCCGCACUAGCUAGUUGGUAAGGUAACGGCUUACCAAGGCAACGAUGCGUAGCCGACCUGAGAGGGUGAUCAGCCACACUGGAACUGAGACACGGUCCAGACUCCUACGGGAGGCAGCAGUAGGGAAUCUUCCGCAAUGGGCGAAAGCCUGACGGAGCAACGCCGCGUGAGUGAUGAAGGUCUUCGGAUCGUAAAACUCUGUUAUUAGGGAAGAACAAAUGUGUAAGUAACUAUGCACGUCUUGACGGUACCUAAUCAGAAAGCCACGGCUAACUACGUG
rnacentral:rRNA from 1 species